CUGGUACAGAGACUUUAUCUUUCACACAGACUUCAAAUAUCUUUGGGAAUUUGUGCUCCUUAUUUACUGAGUGCUUGAGAAGAAAAGACAAAGCCAGUGGAAUGGUCCGAGUGUGGCAUCCGCUGCAUUUAUAAAGAAUAAGAGCUGCAGUGGGUGUGAUUCUUGGACAGAGUGGCGCUCAUCCUUGUUCCUGCAAUGAAGGACAUGCCAGCCUCCAGGCUCUUUGACAGAUGAUUGGAACUGUGCAAAUAUUAUGGAAGAUACCCCGUGUCAAGAAGCUGACAGCACACACGUUUGGGAAGGAUUUAGUGGCUGAAGCACUUCUAGAAGACAUCACCAAAAUGAAACAGUCUACUAUCAGCAAAGGUACCUGAGUAAACAUUCUGCAAUCUCUAACAAAUGUUUAAUGCAAAUGAAACACACUGAAAACCUAAUUCUCAUGUGAGAAGAAUCCUUCGCUAGUAAUCUGUAGUUAACAUCAUUCGUGUGACUUUUUGUGUUGCGUCAUUAGCAUUGCCUAUGUUUUUUCUCUUUGGUGGGGCCAGAAGGAAAGAUCUUGUUGGCUUAGUGGUAUGAAAACCAGGGAGGGAGGGGAAAUGAGGCUCCUCUCCUUUCUUUUCACUACUAGAAUGCCAGAGCAAGAGUGUGAAACAGAGAGCACAGAGCCGUGAUGCUGCCCCCUGCCGGUGGUGCAGGAGAAAGGACGCAACCUCAGUCUACGACUCCUGCCAAGAUUAUCAGCCACGCUAGAAACUAAAGGGUGAAAACAGGGUUUCUCUGCUGCAAUUCCAUCUCUUCCUCUAGAAACUUGUCGUAGGAAUGACUCCCUGUAACUUCCCACACCUGCCUCUUCUUUCUGUAAGUGUUGGCUAACAGAAUCCCCUCCUUCCUCGGUCCUUGCUAAGUGACUGAAUUCAGAAACUCCUGGACAAUAUUACAACCAUCCGUAUUACUGGUCUUUGGCGCUCUAGACUUAUUUUAGAAAGAAAAAUGUGGCAAAUCAUCCAAGAAUUUUCCUGUGCACAGCAUAGGGAUCUGUUUCUCUUACCAUCAGAAAGGGAUUCAUAGUCAUAAUCAUAUUCGUCCUCCUCAUCUUCCUCUUCCUCAUUAUUGGCAGGUCGGGGGUUGGCAUUCCCACCAUUAUAAGCCUGCACUUGCAUAGAUGCUAACUGAUGAGCCUGUAAAAUAGCAAUAAUUGUAAACUGCAGAUGCCAAGUUAAUGAAUUCAUUUAUAACCUUUAAAACUACCCCUGAUGUUUAACACAAUCGUUAAAAGUGGCUUAACCUAUUUUGAUACAUUUGGGAGAGGAGAAAAAAAUCUAGAUUCCCUCGAAAUGCAAUGUCAACACUUGGGUGAACGUUAGCAUUCCUACAGGAAGAAUCCUGGAGCUUUUAUAAACAAUCUCCAGAAGACUGUGUGCAGUGCCCAGCUAGCCAGGUUCCCAGGACAACCCCUCCAAGAGAAAGCUUUGGUGAUUUGGAGAACCAGCAUCAAUCCCAAGUGACUGAAGAAGUGAAUCACCCAUCAAUUUUUCAGAAGUAUGUCUCUGUUAAGAAACCAUUUUUUCCCCUUCUUAAAAUAAUAUCUACAGGCUCCUGACCUUGAGAACAAUAUUAGAAUCCCUAUGGACAAAGAGGCCAAAAGAAUUGUUGUUGGUUUAAAUAAAAUUGUUUUCAAACGGC
ensembl:lncRNA PLCE1-AS1 PLCE1 antisense RNA 1